rnacentral:rRNA from 1 species
UAGAAUGAAAGGAUAAACAUUUAUAUUCUUUCUUUACAAUAUAUAAUUAAAUUAUAAUAAAUAUAAAAAUCUAUUUAUAAAUUAGGAAGACGACAAGACCCUAAUGAACUUAACUAUAAUUUUACUGGGGAAGUAAAAUAAUAAAAUUUUAUUCAAAAUAUUAAUUCAAGCUCACAAAGAAAUUAAACAAAGUUACCAUAGGGAUAACAGCACAAUUUAUAUUUUAAGUUCUUAUAUUAAUAUAAUAUUAUGACCUCGAUGUUGAAUUAAUA